rnacentral:rRNA from 1 species
AACGAACGCUGGCGGCAGGCUUAACACAUGCAAGUCGAGCGCCCCGCAAGGGGAGCGGCAGACGGGUGAGUAACGCGUGGGAAUCUACCCAUCCCUACGGAAUAGCUCCGGGAAACUGGAAUUAAUACCGUAUACGACCGAGAGGUGAAAGAUUUAUCGGUGAUGGAUGAGCCCGCGUUGGAUUAGCUAGUUGGUGGGGUAAAGGCCUACCAAGGCGACGAUCCAUAGCUGGUCGGAGAGGACGAUCAGCCACACUGGGACUGAGACACGGCCCAGACUCCUACGGGAGGCAGCAGUGGGGAAUAUUGGACAAUGGGCGCAAGCCUGAUCCAGCCAUGCCGCGUGAGUGAUGAAGGUCUUAGGAUUGUAAAGCUCUUUCACCGGUGAAGAUAAUGACGGUAACCGGAGGAGAAGCCCCGGCUAACUUCGUGCCAGCCGCCGCCGUAA